AGAGUUUGAUCCUGGCUCAGGAUGAACGCUGGCGGCGUGCUUAACACAUGCAAGUCGAACGAACCUUCGGGUUAGUGGCGGACGGGUGAGUAACGCGUGGGAAUCUGCCCUCAGGAGGGGGAUAACGGCUGGAAACGGCCGCUAAUACCCCAUAUGCCGCGAGGUGAAAUGAAUUUCGCCUGAGGAUGAGCCCGCGUCUGAUUAGCUAGUUGGUGGGGUAAAGGCCUACCAAGGCGACGAUCAGUAGCUGGUCUGAGAGGAUGAUCAGCCACACUGGGACUGAGACACGGCCCAGACUCCUACGGGAGGCAGCAGUGGGGAAUUUUCCGCAAUGGGCGAAAGCCUGACGGAGCAACGCCGCGUGAGGGAUGAAGGCCUCUGGGCUGUAAACCCCUUUUCUCAAGGAAGAAGAUUUGACGGUACUUGAGGAAUAAGCCACGGCUAAUUCCGUGCCAGCAGCCGCGGUAAUACGGGAGUGGCAAGCGUUAUCCGGAAUUAUUGGGCGUAAAGCGUCCGCAGGCGGCCUUGUAAGUCUGUCGUUAAAGCGUGGAGCUCAACUCCAUUUCGGCGAUGGAAACUACAAGGCUUGAGUGUGGUAGGGGCAGAGGGAAUUCCCGGUGUAGCGGUGAAAUGCGUAGAUAUCGGGAAGAACACCAGUGGCGAAGGCGCUCUGCUGGGCCAUAACUGACGCUCAUGGACGAAAGCCAGGGGAGCGAAAGGGAUUAGAUACCCCUAUAGUCCUGGCCGUAAACGAUGAACACUAGGUGUCGGGGGAAUCGACCCCCUCGGUGUCGUAGCCAACGCGUUAAGUGUUCCGCCUGGGGAGUACGCACGCAAGUGUGAAACUCAAAGGAAUUGACGGGGGCCCGCACAAGCGGUGGAGUAUGUGGUUUAAUUCGAUGCAACGCGAAGAACCUUACCAGGGUUUGACAUCCUGCGAACCCCUGAGAAAUCGGGGGGUGCCUUCGGGAGCGCAGAGACAGGUGGUGCAUGGCUGUCGUCAGCUCGUGUCGUGAGAUGUUGGGUUAAGUCCCGCAACGAGCGCAACCCACGUCGUUAGUUGCCAGCAUUCAGUUGGGCACUCUAGCGAGACCGCCGGUGAUAAACCGGAGGAAGGUGUGGAUGACGUCAAGUCAUCAUGCCCCUUACAUCCUGGGCUACACACGUACUACAAUGCUACGGACAAAGGGCAGCAAGCUCGCGAGGGUUAGCAAAUCCCAUAAACCGUGGCUCAGUUCAGAUCGUAGGCUGCAACUCGCCUACGUGAAGGAGGAAUCGCUAGUAAUCGCAGGUCAGCAUACUGCGGUGAAUACGUUCCCGGGCCUUGUACACACCGCCCGUCACACCAUGGAAGUUGGCCACGCCCGAAGUCGUUACUCCAACCCUUGUGGAGGAGGACGCCGAAGGUGGGGCUGAUGACUGGGAUGAAGUCGUAACAAGGUAACC
rnacentral:rRNA from 1 species